rnacentral:lncRNA from 1 species
CAACAGCAUUUACCAAAGGAGCGAGGAAAGGGUUUAUUUACCAUAUUCUCCAGCCUCUGGUUCUCCUUUUCUUUCACUGCCAUUGCCUUGAACCUACAUUUACCUGUCUAAAUAUUUACCAGAUCACCUGCUCCUUCUGCAUUCCCCAACCCUCCCUUUCCUUUCCCAACACUUCUGUGACUCAGACUCUUCUAUCACACUAAUUGAGGACAGUAACCUCUCAUUUAUAUCCCUGCUGCUCAAGGCUCUUCCCCCACAGUUCAUCCUGAUUACUGAUUAACGGUCCUAAAUCACUGUUUCAUCCAUCCCCUCCCAACACCACAGCCCUCACCAACUGCAUCUGCCCACAGAAUAAAGUACAACUCCUGGGUCUGAUGCUCAUCAGGCCCCACCUUACCUGCCCGACCCUCUCAAUUGUCUUCUCCUCCUCCACCAGUAACCUUGAAUUCUGCCAGAUGUAGUUCCCUGCAGUAUCUGGGAAGCCUGCCAAUUCAUUCUGUCCCCAUCCCUGCUCCAGGAAUGCCCAGUGCCUGCUCUUCACAUCUCAGAUCCCACCUGUUCCACCUGGAUCAAGGCAGCUUGCUCAGCUCCCAGACCAGAAUGGUCAACCUGUGUUGAUCAUCUUUGGUGUUUCUGUUUACAGUUUUUUUAGCAAAGCAGUGUAAGAACUAUUUUGUUAUGUUAAGCGAGAUUUCUCAACUGAGGCUUUGGCCUAGAUAAUUCUUUGUUGUGGAGGGCUGUCCUCUGCACUGUUAGGAGGUAG